AACGUAGGAGCAAGCGUUACUCGGAAUUACUGGGCGUAAAGCGUGCGUAGGUGGUUCGUUAAGUCUGAUGUGAAAGCCCUGGGCUCAACCUGGGAAUGGCAUUGGAAACUGGCGACCUAGAGUGCGGUAGAGGGUAGUGGAAUUCCCGGUGUAGUGGUGAAAUGCGUAGAUAUCGGGAGGAACACCAGUGGCGAAGGCGGCUACCUGGCCCAUUCUUGACGCUGAGGCGCGAAAGCUAGGGGAGCAAACGGGG
rnacentral:rRNA from 1 species